rnacentral:rRNA from 1 species
UAGGGAAUCUUCCGCAAUGGACGCAAGUCUGACGGAGCAACGCCGCGUGAGUGGAGAAGGAUUUCGGUUCGUAAAACUCUGUUGUUAGAGAAGAACAGCGCAUAGAGUAACUGUUAUGCGUGUGACGGUAUCUAACCAGAAAGCCACGGCUAACUACGUGCCAGCAGCCGCGGUAAUACGUAGGUGGCAAGCGUUGUCCGGAUUUAUUGGGCGUAAAGCGAGCGCAGGCGGUCAAUUAAGUCUGAUGUGAAAGCCCCCGGCUCAACCGGGGAGGGUCAUUGGAAACUGGUUGACUUGAGUGCAGAAGAGGAGAGUGGAAUUCCAUGUGUAGCGGUGAAAUGCGUAGUUAUAUGGAGGAACACCAGUGGCGAAGGCGACUCUCUGGUCUGUAACUGACGCUGAGGCUCGAAAGCGUGGGUAGCAAACAGG